rnacentral:lncRNA from 1 species
GCAGCCCAUGCCUUUAUUCUUAUCAUCCAAGCCCAAUCCCACUUCCUUACUCCCUUUUUACCUGCCUCCAUUGGCCCAAUAGACCAUGCACCCAAAUAUUGCCCCAAGACACCCUCAACACUGGCCUAAAACAUACAACAGACCCGACCCAUCAAAUCCUCCACCCGGCCCAUCCCACAUAUAUUCUUUUCUCUCAACCCUAAAUUAAAAGGAAAAAACCAUAAUACCGCCAACCCGCCAUCGGCCUGACCUCAACUCAGACCUGACCCAGCUCUGAAACCCGUCCCCAAUAACGUCAACUCAAGCUCUAAUCCUCUUUUAUUCCUCGUUACGUGCCCUUCCAUGCGACUGUGUACGAGAAAGGUUCUGAAACCUUCUAAGAUAGGCCAAGCUGUCUCCCCUCAAUGGCUCAAUCCCAUGAAACAUGGUAACAGUAGUACAAUUUCGUACAUCUAUGGACAAUUCUCAUUGGUUCUGGAGGACGGUUUGUUUUUCUAAAACUCGAUUGGUCCACAUUUAUCUUUUGGGGGGAAGAAUCCAAGAUUUGGUGCAAAACAGGAUUGAAAAUGGGAUUUUUUGAGAAAAAAAACGGGGGGGUGAGAUUUCAAUUUUUGAAUCUCAGAAAGUGCCAUCGAAAUCCCUAAUCUACCACCAAAGGAAGCCCUCAUCUAUUUCUCUGUAAAAGGGCUGAGGUUAGUUAUCGAAAGGGUUUUUUUAUUUUCUUUCUUUUUGUUUGGAUUUUCGGGGAAGGUUUAGAAAUCUUGGUUAAAGAGAUUUCAAAAGAAACUAAAGGAAAAUUUUUCUUAAGCUGGUUUGAAAGGCUGAUUAGAAGUUGGGUUGGGGAUUUUGAAAUCAAAGAAGUUUAUUUUGUGAAAAAUUUGCUCGUCCAUUUCUUUUUGGGAAGCUAGUCAAUUAAUUGGGAAUUCCUAAGUUGACAACAUCAAUUCCCAGUGGUGACGACUUUACUGAUAGCUCAUCGUCCUGCUUGCUACUCUGGAAUAGAAAGUGAUGGCUGUUUGGGGUCAUUUUUGGAUGUGUUUUAAUCAUAUCCCUGUAUAGCCUACCAAGUCUAGAUUGUCAGGUUUUAUAUAUCAUUUCUUUCUGGACUUUUCCUUUCGUCUAAGUUCUGUCCUUGGCUUUUAAUAUUCUGUUCCCAGCUCAGAUUAACAACAUUCUGUUCGUAGCUCAUAUUUGAUGUGGUUCUGAUGGUUGUUAUUAGUCUAAUAUAAGGCUCAUAAGUUGGGGUGCAAUUAAAUCUAUGUUGGUUUAAUGAAUUGCUUGUAUCAAAUCUGGGUAUCUUUUGCCUUAAUUUGCUCUUUGUUGUUGUGUAUAGCACUAUUAUUAUACUAACGGGAUAUCAGAUACGUUUUCAUGUUUCUUUGAGCAUUGUUUCUAGACAUUUCGCAAAGUAAGGAGUUCUCUGCUUAUUGAAUAAAAAUAAGUGUCAGCUUGAUAAUUGAUUGAAGUGUUAGUUGUUAGGAUGCUAUAGUAUUUGUGUACCCACUGAAUUUCUUCUAGUUAUUCAUGCUUAAAUUAAUUCCAAAUGUGUGGGUCAUAUUUUUGUUCCCUUAUUUUAUAAACUUGAGUGCUGUUAGGCAUAUGUUAGAGUAAGUAGUUGCUUCUGCCAAAUAUGGUCCGCUUUCGUAAUGUUUUCCCUUUCUCUGGAUCUUAUGACAUUACACCAUUAAAAUAUAUUUUAAUUCUCUGCCAAGCAUUCUAUCUAAUUGGUUUCCUGCAGGUCGAAUGAAAUUACUAUUAUGUUUAUAUGGAUUGAACUAUUGGUUGUCAUUUUGCAGUGUUCUUGUAUCGGUUCAAAUUCUUUCUUAAGUUCUUUUAGUUGAAUUGUUUCCUCAUCCUUAUUUUUACAUCUUCUUUGCAUGAACCCGCUUUGUGAGUCCAAAUGGACCCUAUUACUGCUGUUGCAUUGUUAAUGGGGGCCAAUGAGGCCCAUUCCUCACGAACCGAUUAUUAAAAAUCUUCAAACAAGGACCUUAUAGUACGCGGAUUUGAGAGUUUAACGAAGAAGGACAAUAGAUUAAAGGCCUACGUUUGGAGCGAUUAAGAGGCUGAAAAGUCUCAUUCAUUGUUUUAUUUACUUGUUUAUUUAUUUAUUUAUUCAUCCAUUUGGGCCUUGAAGCCAAAGUUGUAAAUUUAAUACAGGUGGAGCGGUAUUCGAGUCAAAGGCUCAAAAUAUAGACUAGGACAAGUGGAAUACGAGUCGAAAGCCCAAUAUCUAGACUAGGACAGGGUGACGGAUUUGGGCAUGAAGGCUCAAAUAAUUUAUUUCUUCCUCUAUUUCCCUUUCGUUAUUUUAUUUGCUUAGUGUUCGGAUCUAGUUAACUCCCUAACUAAGUCGCUAAAAAACUGAUUUUGCAAAAAACUUCUCAGUAAUAAACUAGUUUUCCAAUAAAUCGAUUUUCCAAAGUUUGUCAAAAAAAUGUUUUCAAACAGAUUGAAUAACUGCAAGUUAGCGGACAUUUUAGGUUCCUAACACCUUCCUAAAACGUUAAUAGGAGCCUCUUACUCAGAAUCUUCAAACUUAAAAUGAUUUUUCUUCAAACUUAAAAUGAUUUUUCUAUUUUGAAUCAUUUGAAGUAACUCUCUAAAGGUUUCUUAAUUCCUUUUCAAAAUUAAGUGGCGACUCUCUUUCACAAAAUUUCAUCAAAACAGAAAUGACGACUAUGUUGGGGAAUCUCUAACUAGGUUCUGACCAAAUGUUUGAUUUCGUCUUUUGAUUAACUGUUUAUGUGUUUAUGUGUUUCGAUUCUAUAGAGUUUAAUUAUCAC